CGAAGGGGGCAAGCGUUGUUCGGAAUCAUUGGGCGUAAAGCGCGUGUAGGCGGUCUAUUAAGUCGAGUGUGAAAUCCCUAGGCUCAACCAAGGAAGUGCAUUCGAAACUGGUAGACUAGAAGAUGGUAGAGGAUGGUGGAAUUCCAGGUGUAGAGGUGAAAUUCGUAGAUAUCUGGAGGAAUACCGGUGGCGAAGGCGGCCAUCUGGGCCAUUCUUGACGCUGAGACGCGAAAGCGUGGGUAGCAAACAGGAUUAGAUACCCUGGUAGUCCACGCCGUAAACGAUGGGUACUAGGUGUUGUGGGAAUUGACCCCUACAGUGCCGCAGCUAACGCAUUAAGUACCCCGCCUGGGAAGUACGGCCGCAAGGUUA
rnacentral:rRNA from 1 species